UCAUAUGCUUGUCUCAAAGAUUAAGCCAUGCAUGUCUCAGUACAGGCCUUUCUAAGGCGAAACCGCGAAUGGCUCAUUAAAUCAGUCAUGAUUCAUUAGAUUAAGCCAAAAAUUUACUUGGAUAACUGUGGUAAUUCUAGAGCUAAUACAUGCAACUGAGCUCCGACCCGGCCGCCAGGCUGGGGAAGAGCGCUUUUAUUAGAUCAAAAACCAAUCGGACUUCGGUCCGUAUCAAAUGAGUUGUGGUGACUCUGAAUAACUUUAGCCGAGCGCAACGGGCUUAGUCCCGGCGCCGUAUCUUUCAAGUGUCUGCCUUAUCAGCUUUCGAUUGUAGGUUAUACGCCUACAAUGGCUGUAACGGGUAACGGGGAAUCAGGGUUCGAUUCCGGAGAGGGAGCCUGAGAAACGGCUACCACAUCUAAGGAAGGCAGCAGGCACGCAAAUUACCCACUCCCAGCACGGGGAGGUAGUGACGAAAAAUAACGAUGCGGGACUCUUCCGAGGCCUCGCAAUCGGAAUGAGUUCACUUUAAAUCCUUGGACGAGGAUCCACUAGAGGGCAAGUCUGGUGCCAGCAGCCGCGGUAAUUCCAGCUCUAGUAGCGUAUAUUAAAAUUGCUGCGGUUAAAAAGCUCGUAGUUGGAUCUCUGAUUUGGACCGGCGGCCCACUCAAGGAUAGCCCUCGCUGACAAUGGGAGGCGCUUUACGUUCGCUUCCGUGCCCCGGACGGGCGCGUGGCUGCCCUCAUCGAGGUAGUAGUCGCGUCGUUCCGUAAGAGGAUCAAACGCGGUUGCGACGUGGGCUCUCUUACAGGCGGGUAAGCGAUCCCGGUGGUUCACUGUCCGGCUCCGGAUUGAAAAUGCCGUCGGCUCGCACGGGGUGCUCUUCACCGAGUGUCCCGCGUGGCCGACAAGUUCACUUUGAAAAAAUUAGAGUGCUCAAAGCAGGCAAUAACUCACGCCUGAAUGGUAGUGCAUGGAAUGAUGGAACAGGACCUCGGUUCUGUCCUUUUUAUUGGUUUUCUGAACCCGAGGUAAUGAUUAACGGGAACAGACGGGGGCAUUAGUAUUGCGACGCUAGAGGUGAAAUUCUUGGACCGUCGCAAGACUAACUACUGCGAAAGCAUUUGCCAAGAAUGUUUUCAUUAAUCAAGAACGAAAGUUAGAGGAUCGAAGGCGAUCAGAUACCGCCCUAGUUCUAACCAUAAACGAUGCUAACUGGCGAUCCGUCGGCGUCAUUCCCACGACUCGACGGGGAGCCCCCGGGAAACCAAAGUCUUUGAGUUCCGGGGGAAGUAUGGUUG
rnacentral:rRNA from 1 species